rnacentral:rRNA from 1 species
GGAUAACAGGCUGAUACCGCCCAAGAGUUCAUAUCGACGGCGGUGUUUGGCACCUCGAUGUCGGCUCAUCACAUCCUGGGGCUGAAGUAGGUCCCAAGGGUAUGGCUGUUCGCCAUUUAAAGUGGUACGCGAGCUGGGUUUAGAACGUCGUGAGACAGUUCGGUCCCUAUCUGCCGUGGGCGCUGGAGAACUGAGGGGGGCUGCUCCUAGUACGAGAGGACCGGAGUGGACGCAUCACUGGUGUUCGGGUUGUCAUGCCAAUGGCACUGCCCGGUAGCUAAAUGCGGAAGAGAUAAGUGCUGAAAGCAUCUAAGCACGAAACUUGCCCCGAGAUGAGUUCUCCCUGACUCCUUGAGAGUCCUGAAGGAACGUUGAAGACGACGACGU